AUUGAACGCUGGCGGCAUGCCUUACACAUGCAAGUCGAACGGUAACAGGUCUUCGGAUGCUGACGAGUGGCGAACGGGUGAGUAAUACAUCGGAACGUGCCCGAUCGUGGGGGAUAACGAGGCGAAAGCUUUGCUAAUACCGCAUACGAUCUACGGAUGAAAGCGGGGGAUCUUCGGACCUCGCGCGGACGGAGCGGCCGAUGGCAGAUUAGGUAGUUGGUGGGAUAAAAGCUUACCAAGCCGACGAUCUAUAGCUGGUCUGAGAGGAUGAUCAGCCACACUGGGACUGAGACACGGCCCAGACUCCUACGGGAGGCAGCAGUGGGGAAUUUUGGACAAUGGGCGAAAGCCUGAUCCAGCCAUGCCGCGUGCAGGAUGAAGGCCUUCGGGUUGUAAACUGCUUUUGUACGGAACGAAAAGCCUCUUUCUAAUAAAGAGGGGUCAUGACGGUACCGUAAGAAUAAGCACCGACUAACUACGUG
rnacentral:rRNA from 1 species